GCCUUCAUGGUGUAAUGGUCAGUACACUCAGCGGGUAUUCGAGUGAUGCGAGGUUCGAGUCCCGGUGAAGGCA
rnacentral:tRNA from 1 species